CUGUGGCCUUGCUUGAAUUAAUUUUAAUAUAAUGAGAGGUAUAAAUCAAAAUUCAUUUCAUUAUUUUUUGCAAGAUGGCUAUCCAGGUGUUUCAACAUUCUCUAUUGAAAAUAUGUCUUACUUUGUCUUUCUUGAAACCCUUGCCUUCCUUUAUGUACUCUCUACUUACAUGAUUUUGCCUUUUCCCAUGAGUUUAAAUGAAGUCUAAAUACUGAUGACAUCUAAAUAUAUAUGUGCAUUUGAGUACUUUCCCCUGGAUUUCCUGAUAAAUCAAUUCAACUGUCUAUUUGUCAUUGUCCAUCAAACAUUUCAAAGACAUCUUAAAUUUAACACAGCCAAAAAGAGUCUUAAUUUCCCCAAUUCUAGAACUAUUUCAUUCAUAUGAUCUUUCCUCAUUUCCACAAGCAUUAUCAAUAUGCUCUAAGAAAGCUAGGAACUAUGCUGAAUUCAGUUCUUUACUUCAGCUAAUAACAGCAAAUCUUCAAAUUCUUUCUCCCAAGUCAUCUGAAAUCCAACUACAUUUUAAGUUCAGCUAUCUCUUCAAUACCCAUUCACAACUGCCAUUCACCUGGACUCCUGCUGCAGCCCACCUACUAGGUCUUCUUCACAUAAACCCAUCUCCAAUCCGUUCUUUUCAAAGCAGCAAAAGCGGUAAUUUAAAACAUUAUAUAACUCCCCUGCUUAAAAUUCUUCCAUAACUUUUACUCAAUGAACUAAAUAAACAUGUAUUAAGCAUUUAUUCUAUGUCAAGCAUUGUUCAAGGAACUGAGGAUAUAAUGGUAAUUACAAAAAUACAUGGUCUCUAACUUCAUUAAAUGUACAUGCAUCCAGUAUUCAAACACACACACACACACCCUAUAAGAUGUUAACUCUGACAAAUAUAUAGAAGGGUAAUAAACAAUGUAAUGAAUGCUUUCAAAUAGGAAUUUUAUAUGCAAGCAAGACUCUUUGGGAUACUGAUUAUUUAGCACAAAUUAUCUAAAAAAAAACAGAGACUUAGGCAGAAAACUAUUCAUGUAAAUAUGCAGAUUUACAAUAUGCUACAGUAUGGCAAGGAUACAAAGAUGGAAGGAUAAAUGACAAGGACAGAAAGCAAAGAGAACAAGAUGAACUUUGAGGAAAAAAAAAGAAGGAACCAAACCCACAGGCCUUGCUAAGUAGUAUUUUUCUCUUCCUUAAAAUAACACAGAACAAUCUGAGAAAGAGCACUGUGGCUACAGUGUAGAGAGUAUAUUGAGAAGAAAACAGAACUCUAGAGUUUGGGCAAUGAUCUAGAAAAAGUGGAAUGGUAGAUCUUUCUUGCUUCAAAACCCAAACCCAUUCAGCCUGGAAUGAAUGCUUUCACUCCUACUUGUCAGGUCUCAGAUUAAAUACUUCCUCUUAAAAGGAAACCUUCCCUGACCACCAAGAAAAUAAAAAUUUUCUCACCCAGAUCCAUUAUUUUGUAUCACCUUGUUUGCUUCCUUCAAACAUUAAGCACUUUAACAUUUCAUGAUUAGUACUUCUUUAUUUAUUUCUAUCUAUAACCCUAGAAUGUUUGCACCAGGAGAGGGGGACUAUGCCUAUCUUUUUUCUUCCAGCUUGUAAAUUGCCAGUGCAUUCACCAGCAGCAGCUUUAUGGCUGUACUAAAAACAAUAUUGAUCAAAUGAAGUGAUAUCACUGUCUUCACAUGAUAUUAGCUUUCCUCUGCUCAUAAUAUAUGCCACUUAGCAUAAACAUGCUAGGUUAAACCUUUCAACAACUUCUCCACACCUACGUGUUAUGUCACGUGCUGGAUAAGGUGUUAGAGAUAGAAUAAUAACUUCCAAGACCAUAAGAUAUCUAUCAAUGGUUUAGAACAAUGGUUCUGGUUCCCGUUGUGGCACAGCAGAAAGGAAUCCGACUAGGAAUCAUGUGGUUGCAGGUUCAUCCCUGGCCUCACUCAGUGGAAUAAGGAUCUGGCAUUGCCAUGAGCUGUGGUGUAGCUGAGAUCUAUUUCUACCAUCUGACUUUAAUUAUUUUGUAUUUUAUCUUAAAACUCACCUCCUUAUGUGAGAAAUGGAAAAUGAAACAUAUUAUAGAUUUGGCAUAAUUAAAUCCUUCCAUCAAUGAUGAGUAAUGGCUGUAUUCUCAGGCUGCUGGACUAGGGAUAUAGCAGUGAUUUAAAAUAGCCCUUAAAAGAAAUCUCUUGAUUUUUAGGUAUUAGCUUAAAUCUCAGGCUUAACAAAUCACAUGGUUCCUCUUUCUAAGCACAGGAUGGGAUCAGUUUUACAUAAGACUUGGUAUCAGAUAUACUGAUAAUCAGAUUGCAUGACUUUUAAACAAAUUCAGAUGUUAUAGACAUAAAAAAAUAUCAUAGAGCAUAUUAUGUUUCAACUCAAAAAUCUAAUGAAUAUAUAGAUAUUGAGCACUAGUAGAAAGGCCAGAUGGUAUAGGGAGCAGGUAUAUGGAUCAGGUAUAUGGAUCAGGCACAUCCCAAUCCUGAAGUUGCUUAUGAUCUAAAGAUGAAAAUUUAACAUAAACACA
rnacentral:lncRNA from 1 species